CCUACGGGAGGCAGCAGUGGGGAAUAUUGCACAAUGGGCGCAAGCCUGAUGCAGCCAUGCCGCGUGUGUGGAGAAGGCCUUCGGGUUGUAAAGCACUUUCAGCGGGGAGGAAGGCGGUGAGGUUAAUAACCUCAUCGAUUGACGUUACCCGCAGAAGAAGCACCGGCUAACUCCGUGCCAGCAGCCGCGGUAAUACGGAGGGUGCAAGCGUUAAUCGGAAUUACUGGGCGUAAAGCGCACGCAGGCGGUCUGUCAAGUCGGAUGUGAAAUCCCCGGGCUCAACCUGGGAACUGCAUUCGAAACUGGCGGGCUAGAGUCUUGUAGAGGGGGGUAGAAUUCCAGGUGUAGCGGUGAAAUGCGUAGAGAUCUGGAGGAAUACCGGUGGCGAAGGCGGCCCCCUGGACAAAGACUGACGCUCAGGUGCGAAAGCGUGGGGAGCAAACAGGAUUAGAUACCCCGGUAGUC
rnacentral:rRNA from 1 species